CCCAUCCCUCGAUUCCUCUCCCUCCUCCUCCUCUUCCGCCGUCGCUGCCACUGGCAACCUUCCCAUAGCCGCUGCCACCACCUACACCCUCCCUCACGGCUGAUGCUCCCACCCCAUCUAUCCUUCCUUUACCUUGUCCUCACCAUCGAUGACCUCCUCCCCUCCCCCUCUCCCCAAGUCGAGCAACAGGUCCGGAUCCAACGCAGGCUCAGAUUCGGCACGCCCACAACCCUGGUUCCUCUUGAGGACACCAUGGACAAGAUGCUCUAGCCUUGGUGAUGCAGCCAUGGACAAGGUUGUUGUGGCAAUGCCUAAAAUAGCCACUGGAUUAGAUUGCUAUUUUAACUAAUCCCUCUUCAGCCUCUCAGUCAUGUUCAAGACUCAUGUGGUCGUCGAUUACAAGGGUGUCUCCAGGGGUUAAAAAAGUUGCGUUCUUACAGAUUUGAGUGAAAGUAAUUCAAAAUAGGUAAGCAAAUAAGCCAUGUUUCUUCUUUGCUGCUCUAGCUGUCAUGUGCCAAUAGUUAUUUCCGUCCCACAUGCUACUGGUUGCCUAUUUGGAUUAUAUUCAUGAUCUAUGUUAUAUUGUACCGAUAAAACCUUGAUGAAAUUUAAGAAGGCAUGUGUUACGGACCCUCCUCUCUUUCUCGACGUCAGACCACUACCUUCAUUUUGUCGAGUAGCUGAUUGUUUCUGUCUCCAUGGCUGUGAUGUCAAGGAUCAUGGAGACCAAGGUCACCACAUUCUGUUGCAGGUAGAAAAAUGACUAAGAUCCUUGUAUUUGGUUAUUUUUUGGACUUACUGGCCUAUAUAUUCAUUUCUACGUUGCUCUGCGGAAGUCAUUGUUGUUUUAAUUACAAUGUGUGUUUUAUUGGAGCAAGAGGCCGGAAGGGAUCUUAUACUACCAUGAGCGUUUUCUUCAAUCAUACCAAAAUGCAUAAAAAAAUAUAGAUGUGGCUGUUGGCAUGAUUUAGAUGAGAAGCUGCGAUCUUUUAGGCAGUGGGCGCUGGAGCAAGUAGUGAAUUGCUUAAGUAAUCAUUUACUUAUUCUGUUUACCAUCCCGACAAAGAUAUGGGACGAGCGCGAGCUUCCCAUACUUAUUUUUAGGGUUAAAGCAUAGCUUUAUUAUGAUAACGGGUUUGGCAGAUCGCCUAAAACAGCUCCGACCACUGGCACCGAUACAUCCAUGUCCCACAACCCGGGUUCAUUCACGUUACACUCAUAGCCCAACUUUAGUAAGAUGAAUCCAGUCUUUUUGUGUAUCAUUAUUAGCUUCGUAUUGCAAUAACCCCCUAAUAAUAUCUUUAAUUCCGAGUAAUCAUAUUAUUAGUCUAUUUUCCUGGAAGGUACAAAGGCUAAGGUAAGGAAUGAUUUUAGUAAGGAGGUUCAACCUGGGAGAGGUGCCCAUAGCUACUCGAGAAAAAGGGGUAAUCACUAUAAAACAAAUGAUAUAUUCCAAUGUUUUAUAGUGGUGACUGUCCUGUUAGGUCUUUUAAUGUUUCAGUAAGGAACUCAACAGUUUUAUUGGGAUAUGAAGUUGCAUAUUCUUUAAUCUACAUGCUUGCUAAACACCAUAUUUUUUAUUUCAUUUUUAGCCCGACAGUAGGCAACCUUACACGAUUUAGACCCCCCUUGAACUUCCACGUUCUAGACCCAACCUGCUGUAAAUAUGAAUGUGAGAUGGCAUCGCAUUGUCACUUUAGUGACAAAUUCCUGAACAUACUUUGAUUACUUGAACUUUGUUGAAAAUAUUUCUUCUGUUAUCAAGUCUCUAACUAGGCUUGUUAACUAUGUUGCUGAAUUUUUCUUAUUUUAUAGUAGACUCACAUGAUUGCCUAAUGCAAAUUAUACAACUUUAAAAACACCUCAAGGAAUUGUUAUUUGUGAUUGUAGUUGCUUCCAAGAUGGGUUGAGGUGAUAACUGAAUUCUAUUCUACUGCAGAUCAGAUUUCACAUUCACUUAUAUUUGCAUAGGACCAAGGAUAGUUCUCUCUAUGUUGUAUAGUACCACUUACAAAUGUAUAUUCUGUGAAAGGAAGCAGAUAAUUUAAAUGGUGCAAUAUAACAACGAGCUUAUUCAUUUUGUUUCUCUUGCGUUGUUCAUCUAUAAUAUUCUAGUGUUACUGAUGACCAUGAAUUGUCCUCUGCAAAGCGUUGUGGACUGCAAUGGAUACUUUUUAUUGAUUAGUAACAUUGUGUUUCAUGGAAUUGAGCAAUAGUUGCAAAUCAUCAUUUCUGAGCAAAGAAUUUGAGUCCAGCUGCAAGCUCUGCUUCGUUUUUAACGUUAUUAGAAUUAUGAGUUUCUUAUUGGCCACUGCAAGUAAUAGUGUUGUUAUUAUAUUUAGCUAUUAGAGAUUUUGUUACUGAAGUUGUAGAUGAACUGUCUGAUAUUAUAUUUGUGGGAAUCUUUUCUGUACCAAAAAUGUGACCUUACAUUACUCUUCAUUGGAAGUGGAUAACCUCCAGUCUGCAAUUAUGAUUCUACAUGCACGUUCAAUCUAUUGGAUGUCUGAGUGUGUGUCGCAAAGCGAUAUUCACUGAUGGAAAUGUAUCUUCGAGGGCAUAGGAUCAACUUGUGCCGGCUUCUCGUGUUGCUAUAGUUUUUGAGAUGUGGAUGGAUCAUACAAUUGUUGUCGAGGUGAGUUAGAUUCACUUUUGCUUCCGAUUUCAAAUCAGACUCGGUUGUCUCCCAUAUCUGAAUGAUACCAAGGGUAGUUUCUUCUCCUAAGGAGGCCUACUAAUGCCACAUCGAGAUUACUCCUACAUUGUUAAUCUAAUAUCCUACCAUUACAUUUUUUUUUGUUUUUGAGUUCCCCAAAUACCAAAAUUAUAAAUUCAUCAGCCAUUUAUUUUCUUCUGAUAAUAUAAUCAAUCUAUACACAUAAAAGGUUUAGCAUUGCCGUGCUCAUAAUAUUUUGAAGUUUUAUGAUUCUAUGUUAAGUUUUAUUCUCAUGUACAUUGCGAUAUGUUUUGCAGUCGCACGGUCUUCCUAGGCAGACUUAGAUGACAUAAGCAUGUUCAUCACACUAAUUGUUCUUGAUAGAGGAGUCUGCAUUUCUUCUUAUAUUGUGCCCUCUUUUGUUUUUUCAUGCUGCCAAGAGUAGUCCUCCGAGCAGCAAGACGGUGAAGAGGGGAUGUUUUCUGCAGCCUCUGUGAAGUCGAGCUAUGUUUCUUUUGGCUGUUCAUUUUUACGCAAGUACUUUGGUGUUGCAAUGUUUGUGUAACCUCAUGGCUAAACCUGCUCAGGAUCUAGUGGUGGUUUCUUCUAUGUUCAUUGUUAAUAUGUGAGUUAUACGUCAUCAAAAAUAUAUCAUUGGAAAGUUCAUUGAAAUAUGCAUCCAAUGGCAUGCUCUUUGUGGCAUAUAACUCACAUUUUGAG